GUUGAACGCUGGCGGCAGGCUUAACACAUGCAAGUCGAGCGGAGAUGAGGUGCUUGCACCUUAUCUUAGCGGCGGACGGGUGAGUAAUGCUUAGGAAUCUGCCUAUUAGUGGGGGACAACAUUCCGAAAGGAAUGCUAAUACCGCAUACGUCCUACGGGAGAAAGCAGGGGAUCUUCGGACCUUGCGCUAACAGAUGAGCCUAAGUCGGAUUAGCUAGUUGGUGGGGUAAAGGCCUACCAAGGCGACGAUCUGUAGCGGGUCUGAGAGGAUGAUCCGCCACACUGGGACUGAGACACGGCCCAGACUCCUACGGGAGGCAGCAGUGGGGAAUAUUGGACAAUGGGGGGAACCCUGAUCCAGCCAUGCCGCGUGUGUGAAGAAGGCCUUAUGGUUGUAAAGCACUUUAAGCGAGGAGGAGGCUACUGAGACUAAUACUCUUGGAUAGUGGACGUUACUCGCAGAAUAAGCACCGGCUAACUCUGUGCCAGCCGCCGCAGUAACAC
rnacentral:rRNA from 1 species